rnacentral:rRNA from 1 species
GAGACACGGUCCAGACACCUACGGGUGGCAGCAGUCGAGAAUCAUUCACAAUGGGGGAAACCCUGAUGGUGCGACGCCGCGUGGGGGAAUGAAGGUCUUCGGAUUGUAAACCCCUGUCAUGUGGGAGCAAAUUAAAAAGAUAGUACCACAAGAGGAAGAGACGGCUAACUCUGUGCCAGCAGCCGCGGUAAUACAGAGGUCUCAAGCGUUGUUCGGAAUCACUGGGCGUAAAGCGUGCGUAGGCUGUUUCGUAAGUCGUGUGUGAAAGGCGCGGGCUCAACCCGCGGACGGCACAUGAUACUGCGAGACUAGAGUAAUGGAGGGGGAACCGGAAUUCUCGGUGUAGCAGUGAAAUGCGUAGAUAUCGAGAGGAACACUCGUGGCGAAGGCGGGUUCCUGGACAUUAACUGACGCUGAGGCACGAAGGCCAGGGGAGCGAAAGGGAUUAGAUACCCCUGUAGUCCUGGCAGUAAACGGUGCACGCUUGGUGUGCGGGGAAUCGACCCCCUGCGUGCCGGAGCUAACGCGUUAAGCGUGCCGCCUGGGGAGUACGGUCGCAAGAUUAAAACUCAAAGAAAUUGACGGGGACCCGCACAAGCGGUGGAGUAUGUGGCUUAAUUCGAUGCAACGCGAAGAACCUUACCUGGGCUUGACAUGUAAUGAACAACAUGUGAAAGCAUGCGACUCUUCGGAGGCGUUACACAGGUGCUGCAUGGCCGUCGUCAGCUCGUGUCGUGAGAUGUUUGGUUAAGUCCAGCAACGAGCGCAACCCCUGUUGCCAGUUACCAGCACGUGAAGGUGGGGACUCUGGCGAGACUGCCCAGAUCAACUGGGAGGAAGGUGGGGACGACGUCAGGUCAGUAUGGCCCUUAUGCCCAGGGCUGCACACGUACUACAAUGCCCAGUACAGAGGGGGCCGAAGCCGCGAGGCGGAGGAAAUCCUGAAAACUGGGCCCAGUUCGGACUGUAGGCUGCAACCCGCCUACACGAAGCCGGAAUCGCUAGUAAUGGCGCAUCAGCUACGGCGCCGUGAAUACGUUCCCGGGUCUUGUACACACCGCCCGUCACAUCAUGGAAGCCGGUCGCACCCGAAGUAUCUGAAGCCAACCGCAAGGAGGCAGGGUCCUAAGGUGAGACUGGUAACUGGGAUGAAGUCGUAACAAGGUAGCCGUAGGGGAACCUGCGGCUG